AGACACCCUUAAGGGGCAAGACUUACUUCAGUGGGGCUUUGGUGCUCACUGAGUCUGCCCCGGAGGGUGUCCCU
rnacentral:pre_miRNA from 1 species